rnacentral:tRNA from 1 species
GCCUCCUUAGCUCAGUUGGUAGAGCACCGGUCUCCAAAACCGGCCGCGGCGGUUUGAACCGCCCCGAGUUUUGUGGAGGCUCCA